UGAAUUGCGAAUUGUGACAGUCGUUUCGUUGGUUUUCUCGUGGUUGGAUGUGUUUUUAUGAUGGUGCAGUAAAUUGGAUUUUUCUCUAUUUCUCUGUUUUCCUAUAUUCACUUUCCGCGAAACACUCAUCAUGUUCACAUAGUAUCAGAGUGAAAAUUCAGUGAGUUCGGUGGAGUGUGCUUAACAACAAUUUUCCAGGGCCUCGGUGUUCUGUUCAUUUUAUAUGGAGCUAAAUGAAGCUCUUCCGAAAUUCUGAUUUGUGGCGGUAGCAGCGCCGACUUGCUUCGGAAAGUCGAAAUGCUUCGCGGUCCUUUCAUGAGUGUGUGUAUGUGUGUGCAUGAAAGCAAGCCGUCGCGGAAUUUUUAAGCGAAAAUUUGUUUUAUAAUCCCAAAAUAAAGUGUAAAUUUGGUAAAAUCUUAAUCAGUGUGAUGAAAAAUGCGAUGCAUAGUGUGCGGAGCGACAGUUGAGACUCCCGAAAGGUGUCAUUCCACGGAAAAAGACAUAUUGUUAGAACCGUCAGGGAAUCUGUAAGGGCGGAGCCCUCAAUGCAAUCGCGUGGAUGAGCGCCUUGGCCGCCAGAGAUUUCUCCAGAACCCUCAGCGUUCCUCCUAACGAUCUAUACACUACGACGAUCCGUAGGGGUAACUCACAGGCUAACACUAGGAACACUCUUAGAAGAAAUCGGCGCCGCUCCGAGAGACAUCUAUGAUGUCAAAUUCAAAUACCAACGGGGAGUUUAACCGUUGGGGAGAAGCUAGUGCUAACAAUAUUUUAUUAAGAAAUGACUAAAAUGUAUAAUAAAAAUAUAAGAACACCAAAAUGCUUUAUAUAUAUUUUUUUAUUAUUUUCAAAACCAGUUAAAAGUAGUUUAAGUUUUCCAUUUCCCCAUUAAUAAAAAUUGAUCCACUUUAAGGAAAAAAAGAUACAAUGAAAAGAAAUUUAAAUGUGUUUCUUUAUUUUAUAAGAAAUUAUAAAAUAAUUAUAGUAUAUGAAAACAUAAAAAUAUAAGACAACUAAAAUGCUUUUUCUAAAUUGUUUUUUUAUAUUUGUCAAAAUUGUUAAAAACGCACUGAAUUUUUGAUUUCUGGAUAAAUAGAAAUUGAUUCACUUUAAGAAAAAAGACAUAAUGUGAAGAAAUUGAAAAAUGUGAUCCACUUUUGUUUUAAAGAAAAAAUGUAUUUUAUUAAAAUAUAAAUAUAUAAAAACA